rnacentral:lncRNA from 1 species
GAAAUCGGGAAACAAAUUACAUGCACAACACAGCCCACUGUUUUUCUCUUCAUUUCCUUCUCCCCCUCCCAGGCUGCAGCAUUACAAACGACAAGUUGAAGUGAGUCACCAGGUCGAGAAAAGGCACUGCCGAAUGGGUCUAUCUUUACCUUGCUGCUUUGAUGACAUUUAUCUCGCUUCACUGCAGCACCAAAAUGCUGCCCAAACAGCAGGAGGGCCCUGUGCAUGUAAUGAUGGCCUUGGCCCUGUGCCAGGCCCUGAGAAUGCAAAAACAGAGACGUCGCUGGCUCCACUCUGAAGUUUUUCAUAAUUUCCUGGGGAGACAGACGCAUAAACAGUCACAGCACAAUGUGAUAGCAGAAGAGUUGCCAUGAAAGCAAGAGGAGGGGAUUGUGCAUCUUUGGGAGGCGGGAGAGAAGAGUGAGAAGGGAGGCUUUCUUGAAACGAUGCUCUCCAGAUGGGAAUGAAGCUGUUUGAGUGACAGUGAUUUCAAACCUAUGAAGUGCUACGAAAUUAUGAAAUGUUGUUAUCAUUGUGUAUACCGUUGAGUGAAAUCCAAAGAACUUGGUAGAAAGAGAAGCGAACAAGAAACCGGGAAAAGCAGAUCCUAAUGCUACUACUGCCACUAACCUGCAGUGUGAGCUUGGGCCACUGUCUCUCUGAGCCUCUGCUUUCUCACUUGUAAAUGACCCAGUUUGAUUAAAUUCUCUUGGAGAUCGAUCCCAGCUCUGAAAUUCUAUGAAUCCAUGAGCACUGGAGCAAAGAAGUUCUGCAGCAAACCUCACACAGCCUUGGAAUACAAUAGAAGGCCAAUGUAUACUACACACACCAACGGCCAAAGCUCACCUCUGAGGUUGGUAACAGUUAACCCCAACUGCAACAAUCAGAAACAGAAUUCCGGGGGAAUUCAAUGAAAAGGCAAACUAUAUACACCUCAGGAAUCUUGGAGCACAUCAUCAUGGCAGAAGAUAAUAACACAUCUAUAAUGGCAAUACUGAACGAGUCAGAAAAAACAUCAGAUUCUGCCCAGCAGCUGUAUACUUAGGGAACUGGGUGCAAGACCUCUCAACAUUUUUUGGAUGUGGCUUUGGCUAGUAAUGUUGUGCUAGUAGCUCUCUCCCACAGCUUGCAGAGCCCCAUUGCUUCCUACCUUCCUAACACACUGAGCACCUGCUGCAUGCCAGACAUGGUGGUGAACCACACCCGGGCCACUGAGACACAGUCUCUGCUCUCAGGGAGCUGACAAACAUUGGAUAAGGCAUUUUAACAGCCGGGGAUACUUUUACACUUUCAGCGUAGUCCUCCAUGGUGCUUAUAUAGUUUAUAUCUUGUCUGUCUACUAUUCUGUGAAAACAUAGCUGUUUGUGUAUUCAGCUCAGAUUUGCUUCUUCACCCUCAGCCCUCCAGGAGCUUCUGGAUGUUAAAUAUUAUCUCUCCAGGUGAGUC